rfam:Lactococcus raffinolactis 4877 genomic scaffold, Scaffold1591
GCCGGAAUAGCUCAGUCGGUAGAGCAGCACCAUGGUAAGGUGAAGGUCGUCGGUUCGAUUCCGAUUUCUGGCA